AUGAGUGAUUUAUCGAACGAAAAUUCAAUAACCAAUCUCUGUGGACACGAUAAAUUCUCAGAUAAAUAUUUCCAAAACUUUUGUUGUUUGCCGCUCUACCGCUCCAACACCUUCGUUUCACAGGUUUUCGAGAUCCUGGUGCAUCAUUACUCUCCUUUUCACUAUCGCUUUCUUCCUGUUGAUUUCAAAUCCAGAAAACUAAAACUCAUACAAAACCAACCCGUCUCAACAAACAUAAAGAGAGAUAUAAAUCAUAAUUUAAGCAUGAACUACAUCAUUUAUAAUGUCGGGAUUAGUUUAUGA